rnacentral:rRNA from 1 species
CCUACGGGGGGCUGCAGUGGGGAAUAUUGGACAAUGGGGGCAACCCUGAUCCAGCCAUGCCGCGUGUGUGAAGAAGGCCCUCGGGUUGUAAAGCACUUUCAGUGAGGAAGAACGCCUGGUGGUUAAUACCCAUCAGGAAAGACAUCACUCACAGAAGAAGCACCGGCUAACUCCGUGCCAGCAGCCGCGGUAAUACGGAGGGUGCGAGCGUUAAUCGGAAUUACUGGGCGUAAAGCGCGCAUAGGUGGCUUGAUAAGCCGGUUGUGAAAGCCCCGGGCUCAACCUGGGAACGGCAUCCGGAACUGUCAAGCUAGAGUGCAGGAGAGGAAGGUAGAAUUCCCGGUGUAGCGGUGAAAUGCGUAGAGAUCGGGAGGAAUACCAGUGGCGAAGGCGGCCUUCUGGACUGACACUGACACUGAGGUGCGAAAGCGUGGGUAGCAAACAGGAUUAGAUACCCCGGUAGUC